UGUAGUUGAGACAGAGAGAUUAACUAAAGAUGUGGAAGCCGGCAUCCCGACGCUUGGCGAUCGUUGCAGCGGCUGUACUAAUGCUGUGUGCUGCGCAAGUUGAGCUUGUCCAUGGAGGUGGAAGGCCGUGGCGAAAACCUCCGGCUCCCAUAGCGAACGGGUUGAAAGGUAGUCGUGUCUGCAAUCCAGAUUAUUAUCCCUGCAAAGGCGACAACCCGUCACUGCGGCCGCCGAUUCCUUCUUCUCCUGCCGCAGCAGCAGAUGUACCUCCUCCUGGUCCUGGCAGCCCGACGUAAUACAGCUUUGCUAAUUCCUACUUUUGAGUUGCGCAGCAGGCCAGCCGCAGACAAUUCACCAUUUACUACCCAUGUUAAUUAGCUGAACAGACGACACAUGCUUGAUUACAGAAGAUGCUGCUCAGAGUUCACACGCCAAGACAAAAAAGAGGAAUUUUAUGGUUAUAGCUUUAGUCCGCGAUGUCCGUGGAAUUCAUUAAAUAUCAGGAAUUCCAGUGGACACAAAUAUUCAGAAUAGCACAUUAGAAUUAAGUACUUUCAGAAUUUCCAAA